rnacentral:rRNA from 1 species
AGCUCCAAUAGCGUAUAUUAAAGUUGUUGCAGUUAAAAAGCUCGUAGUUGAAUUUUGGGCCCGGCUGAGUGGUCUUGCAUUCGUUGUAAGCACUGCUCUGGUUGGGUCUUUCCUUCUGGCUAACCAGCUGCCUUUUACUGGGUCGGCUUGGGGAUCCAGGACUUUUACUUUGAAAAAAUUAGAGUGUUCAAAGCGGGCGUCAAAGCUUGAAUACAUUAGCAUGGAAUAAUAGAAUAGGACUUUGGUUCUAUUUUGUUGGCUUCUAGGACCGAAGUAAUGAUUAAUAGGGAUAGUUGGGGACGUUAGUAUUUAGUUGUCAGAGGUGAAAUUCUUAGAUUUACGAAAGACUAACUUCUGCGAAAGCAUUCGUCAAGGAUGUUUUCA